rnacentral:rRNA from 3 species
GCGACCCCAGGAUGGGCGAGACC